rnacentral:tRNA from 1 species
GGGCCGUUAGCUCAGGUGGUCUAGAGCGCUACCUUGACACGGUAGAGGUCAGUGGUUCGACUCCACUACGGCCCA